UCCACUUGACAAUCGCUUGUAAUGCUGGC
rnacentral:sRNA from 1 species